AUGAACGCUGGCGGCGUGCCUAAUACAUGCAAGUCGAGCGAACGGACGAGAAGCUUGCUUCUCUGAUGUUAGCGGCGGACGGGUGAGUAACACGUGGAUAACCUACCUAUAAGACUGGGAUAACUUCGGGAAACCGUAGCUAAUACCGGAUAAUAUUUUGAACCGCAUGGUUCAAAAGUGAAAGACGGUCUUGCUGUCACUUAUAGAUGGAUCCGCGCUGCAUUAGCUAGUUGGUAAGGUAACGGCUUACCAAGGCAACGAUGCAUAGCCGACCUGAGAGGGUGAUCGGCCACACUGGAACUGAGACACGGUCCAGACUCCUACGGGAGGCAGCAGUAGGGAAUCUUCCGCAAUGGGCGAAAGCCUGACGGAGCAACGCCGCGUGAGUGAUGAAGGUCUUCGGAUCGUAAAACUCUGUUAUUAGGGAAGAACAUAUGUGUAAGUAACUGUGCACAUCUUGACGGUUCCUAAUCAGAAAGCCACGGCUAACUACGUG
rnacentral:rRNA from 1 species